rnacentral:lncRNA from 1 species
CCAUCUAAACUUUCAGUCCGCCGAGGAAACGUUUUGGCUCGACGGCGGUUCGAAAUUUUUUUCGAUGGCGGUGUUUAGAUGGCGGAUUUCCGCCAUCUAAACUAUCCCGCCCAAAAUUUCGAAUGACCCCCAAUUUCCAGCCCGAUUACCCGAUUAAAUUGACUUAAGAUGGCGGAUUUCCGCCAUCUUAAGUAUUCGGGGACUCGGGCGGAAAAAGCCCGCCCAAAUUUCGAUUGGGCGGACUUUCACUUAAGUGCUGGCGGCACUUAAGUGUACUUACAUGGCGGAAAUCCGCCAUGUAAGUUUUGGGGUUUAAUAAAAACCCCAAAUCGACAGAACGCACUCAUUUCUUCAAAUCGUCUCCUUCCUGCCGGUUGCUGCGCUCCUGCCGUCGUUCCCUCGCUCCGCCGGUUGCUGCGUCGUCGUCGUCUCCUCCAAUCGUUCACGUCGCCGGUCUCGUCUACUGUUUUGGUUCACGUCUCCGUCGCCCGUCGCCGUUCUCUCAGAGGUCACGUCUCCAUUGCUGUGAAGGUAUUUUUGUUUUGGUUUUUGGUUAUAAAUUUUUUUGUUUCAUCUACUGUUUCGCCGGUCACGUCUCCUCCCGUCGGGCAUGUCCUCCCGUCGGUCAUCUUCAUCAAUUAAGCUACUCUUUAAUAUGAUUAAAAUGGAAAGGAAGAGUAAUGAAAUCAAACUUUUGAUUAUUCAAGUAAUGUAAUGUUAUUCAAGUCUAGUUAUUAUCGAUGAUUAGUUAUUAUAACUUAUUACAUGUAUGAUCCUAAUACGAAAGCAAGUAUGUGCAGAGUGGAAAAUAUAAAUUCAGAAGGUUUAUUUAUUUUCUAUCUUCGUAAAUGAAGAUUUCAAAAAUAAAAAUAAGAACAAUACUAAAAUGUACAAAACAUAUAUGACGUGGGCUAAAUUUGGAAUGGGACAAUAUAUUUUUCUCUCAACUUAGAUGUUCAGAACUUUUUCUGAUUCUAGAAUAACGAAUAAACUUGGAUGAUGCAUCUAUGUAGAGUUUUAGUUAUUUUUAAGGUUAAGAGAUAAUUUAGGUCAGUUACUGAUUUUUUAUUUUAAAAUUCUACAAAAUUCUUAUAAAUGGAAAUGAUCUUUAAAUUCUUACUUCUGAGGAUUAGCGGCAACCAUUUUCUUUAAAGUUCCAUCACGAUGGCACAAGUCAACUGCAGAUCGUACAUUUGUACAUUUGAAUCAUACUAAAAAUUUAAUGAAUGUAUUUGCUGAAUGGUUUUAUAAUGAAUGUAUUUGCUGAAUUUAAUGAAUGAUUAAAAUUUUUAUUUUUGAAUGGUUUUAUAAUUGUGUUUAUUGUAAUUAGGGGAGAUUUUAUUAAUGUAUUUUAUUGUAAUAGGAUUGUGAUCUUAGGUUUAUUCUCGCCGGUCUCCACUUCCACUGCCGUCGCCGAUCCCACCAUCUGUCAAGGUAGUAUAUAUAUCUAUUUAUCUAUUAUCUAUUUUGUG